GACGAACGCUGGCGGCGUGCUUAACACAUGCAAGUCGAACGCUGAAGCUUGGUGCUUGCACUGGGUGGAUGAGUGGCGAACGGGUGAGUAAUACGUGAGUAACCUGCCCUUGACUCUGGGAUAAGCCUGGGAAACUGGGUCUAAUACUGGAUACGACAUGUCACCGCAUGGUGGUGUGUGGAAAGGGUUUUACUGGUUUUGGAUGGGCUCACGGCCUAUCAGCUUGUUGGUGGGGUAAUGGCUCACCAAGGCGACGACGGGUAGCCGGCCUGAGAGGGUGGCCGGGCAAAAUGGGACUGGGGCACCGCCCAGACUCCUACGGGAGGCAGCAGUGGGGAAUAUUGCACAAUGGGCGGAAGCCUGAUGCAGCGACGCCGCGUGAGGGAUGACGGCCUUCGGGUUGUAAACCUCUUUCAGCACGGAAGAAGCGAAAGUGACGGUACGUGCAGAAGAAGCGCCGGCUAACUACGUG
rnacentral:rRNA from 1 species